rnacentral:lncRNA from 1 species
CAGAGGGAACGGCCUGUGCAAAGGCCUGGAGACACGCGACUGAAGCGCGCCUAACAAUGGCUACCAUGGAUUCGUGGGCAGGCGCCUGUACACUCAAUCCUCACGGCAGCUCCAGGACACUGGAGUUAGUGCUCCUGUCUCACAGGAAAGGAAACGUUGGCUCAGAAAGAUAAGGAAACCGAAGCACAGAGAGGCAGGUCAUCUGGCUGAGGUCACACAGCCACACGGCGAGAGAGCAGUGAAGCUGGAGUUCCAGCAAGCUCCACCUGGCGAGAAUUCAAGCCCUGCCAUGGGCCACCUCUCUGGAGGAAGAGAAAGCCAGCUUCAGACUCUGCCUCUCUCAAUCCUUAUACAAGGCCAGAGAGCGCUUGAGGCUUCCAGGCACUCCUAUGCUUACACACCUUCCAUGGCUCCCAGCUGCCCUCCAGAUAAAGAACAAUCUCCUCAGUGUGGCCCUUGAGGUCCUGUGAUCUGGCCUCUGUCCACCACCAGGGCCCCCCUCCUGGCCAGAUCUCUGAGCCUCGGCCAAGCUGACCUGCUUCUCUCAGGGCCUCAACAGGGCCGAUCUCCAUCCCUGCUGUUCCCUUGGUCCAGCAUGCUGUUCCCCUCUAGUUGCUUCUCCUUACCCUGGGGGCCUCCACUCAAAUGCCACCUCCUCCACUGGCCGGACGCUGCCAUUAACCUGCUCGAGUGCUCUCCCUGCAAAACUCAGCACAGGCUGGGCACAGUGGCUCAUGCCUGUAAUCCCAGCACUUUGGGAGGCCGAGGUAGGAUGACUGUUCGAGCCCAGGAGUUCAAAACCAGCCUGGGCAACAAAGUGAGAUCCUGUCUCUAUUUUUUAAAAAAUUAGCCGGGCGCAGUGGAGCACAACUGUAGUCCCAGCUACUCAGGAG